ensembl:lncRNA
GAUAUCCUGUAUGUCUCAAAGCAUUUUGUAGAACUUUAGAACAUAGCAUUUUUAUUCAAUAUGAAUUUGGAAAACAACUCCAAGAUAGCCAAGAUAUCUAUUUUUUCUAGAUAAAUAACAAAACACAGAAAACAAAAGGGAAGUGAGAAAUGGAAAAACUGACUUGGCCUCUCUUUCAGAGUGGAGCUGUGACUUGGCUUCCUGUGCCUCCUACCACCUACCUCUUUUUUAUGUUUAAACCUCUGAAACUCAGCAUUUUGGCGUCUGAGAAUGCUGUGGUCUGAAUGUCUGUGCCUCCCCAAAAUUCAUAUGCUGACAACCUACUCACCAAGGUGAGGAGAAUUGGAAGUGACUUUGGGGGGUGAUUAAGUCAUUAGGGUGGAGCCCUCUUGAAUGGGAUUAGUGUCCCUUCUGCCAUGGGAAGACUCAGCAAGAAGAUAUGAUCUUCUGCAGAAGACGCCGUGCUGGCCACUGCCCACUCCUUAACCCUGGACUUCACAGCUCCAGGUCAUGAGACCAUGAGAAAUAAAGUGUGUUGAUUAUAAGACUCGGGAUUAUGAAAUUUUCGUUACAGCAGAGCAGCCUGAAUAUGCAAAGACCAACAAUAUGCUGCAUUUUUCCUAUGAAGACUGUGGCCAGUCUUUGCUGUGAAAAAAUACUCUCUGGUAACUUUUCUGUGGGUCCUCAUCACACAAUUUGCCUCAUGUUGUACUGCGAUGAGGUCAGUGUUUUCUAAUAAUGAGAAAUUCUCCAUCUUCAAGGCCAGUAGCUAGUGCCCAGGGGCUACAGGAAGGACAUGUUGGUUUCAGCUGGUGACAGUCCCAUCCUACGGUAGCAGCUGGCUUGUCGUCUGAAGGAGCCAGGCUCAACAAAAAGAGAACUGUGAGCUCUUUGUGGGAGCCUUUGGGCUGCCCAUGGCCUAUGCUGAGCCCCACCUUUCUGACAUGAGGCCUCCCCAGGGCUCCUUAAGCUUCUAGAUUUUUCUCAGGAUUCCUCUGUGUCUGGUGUUGAAUAUGCUGAAUAUCAAUCUACAAUCAAUACAGUGUUGCCUGGAGGCACCUCUUGCUUCAAAUUUGCUUCACAAAUCUGCUGCAGUGACAGAAAGCUAAGACAGCUGCAGAAAAAGCCAACCCUGCUGAUUCCUUCAUCUUGGACUUGCAGCCUCCAGAACUGUGAGCAAAUGAACAUCUGUUGUUUAAGCCACCCAGUCUGUGGUACUGUGUUAUGGCAGCCCCAGCAAUCUAAUGCAGAGGGGAAAGUGGGUUUGGGUGCAGAAAAAAUUAUAUUUAAACAUCAAAUUGCUUCUAGAAAAAGCCAAAGUAUAAACCAUGAUAAAGGAGAGAGAAGAGAAGGAAGGGGCUUGGCAAGGAUCCGGCAGUGGAAUGGGACAGACUUUCAACACCUUGCCAUGCGAUCUUUCCCCACAAACUCCUGUGUGACCCACAUAUGAAUUCUCACUGAGAGACACAGACUGAAAGAGGCUUGGCCUGAAGAAUUUGCCAGAGGGCACAGGGAGCAUGGCUUAUUUCUUGGGAGAUGACAACAGGUCAAUUUGAUCCUACACUGUAGAAUUUUCUCCAGAUGAAAAGUGAGUUUUUGAACCUGCUAAUAGCAGCACCAUGGAAUGUUUUCAGUUAUUUUCAAUCUCCAUGUUUGACUACUUUAGACCUAGAAACAUCAGUGCUGGUUCCAGUUGGAAAGAAAUAAUGGAAGAGAGAUGUGAAGAUGCCCAGAUAGGCCAAUCUGUGGAAACUGCUCUCACCAGAGACCAGAUGACCUUCAGACUGCUAAAUCCAGUUCUCAGCCCUCAGCUUCCAUGACCUGUCAUGCACGCGUCCCUGCACAUACUGGGCUACUUCCUCUGCCCAGCACACCUGCCUCCUGGUUCCUGACCCUGUACUCCUGCUCCUCUUGCUACCUGGUGGGUCACUCUUCCUCAGCAUCUCUCACUGGCUCCCUCCCCACCUCUUCAGGUUGGAGUCCCCGGGGUUCACUCCUGGGGCCUCUUUUCUUUUCCCUCCUCAUUCUCCGCCUGGAUGAUCACAUCCUUUCCUGUUGCUUUGAAUUCCAUCUAUAUGCUGAUGACUCAUCCAUGUGUGUCUUCUGCAAGCUCACUCCCAAACUCCAGGCUCAUAUCAGUGGCGACUCUGUGCCACCAUGUAGAAGUCUAAUCAACCUCAGCAGGUCCUGAAUUGACUCUGGAUCUCCCUACUCUGCCAACCUUGCUUCCAUCCCUGGUAGCUCCAUCCUUCUGGUUACUCAGGUCAUAAACCUUUGUGUGAUGCUCGAUUCCUUCCUUCUCAUUGCCCGCUUUCAAUUCCUCAGGAAAUAUGUUGGCUCUCUUCUCAAACUAUAUUCAGCAACCAAUCACAGCUCAGCAUCUCCACUGAGCCCAUCCUCCACUGAGCCCUGGCCAUCUCUCACCUUGACA